rnacentral:rRNA from 1 species
GACGAACGCUGGCGGCGCGCCUAACACAUGCAAGUCGAACGAGCGAGAGAGAGCUUGCUUUCUCGAGCGAGUGGCGAACGGGUGAGUAACGCGUGAGGAACCUGCCUCAAAGAGGGGGACAACAGUUGGAAACGACUGCUAAUACCGCAUAAGCCCACGGGUCGGCAUCGACCAGAGGGAAAAGGAGCAAUCCGCUUUGAGAUGGCCUCGCGUCCGAUUAGCUAGUUGGUGAGGUAACGGCCCACCAAGGCAACGAUCGGUAGCCGGACUGAGAGGUUGAACGGCCACAUUGGGACUGAGACACGGCCCAGACUCCUACGGGAGGCAGCAGUGGGGAAUAUUGCACAAUGGGGGAAACCCUGAUGCAGCGACGCCGCGUGGAGGAAGAAGGUCUUCGGAUUGUAAACUCCUGUUGUUGGGGAAGAUAAUGACGGUACCCAACAAGGAAGUGACGGCUAACUACGUGCCAGCAGCCGCGGUAAAACGUAGGUCACAAGCGUUGUCCGGAAUUACUGGGUGUAAAGGGAGCGCAGGCGGGAAGACAAGUUGGAAGUGAAAUCUAUGGGCUCAACCCAUAAACUGCUUUCAAAACUGUUUUUCUUGAGUAGUGCAGAGGUAGGCGGAAUUCCCGGUGUAGCGGUGGAAUGCGUAGAUAUCGGGAGGAACACCAGUGGCGAAGGCGGCCUACUGGGCACCAACUGACGCUGAGGCUCGAAAGUGUGGGUAGCAAACAGGAUUAGAUACCCUGGUAGUCCACACCGUAAACGAUGAUUACUAGGUGUUGGAGGAUUGACCCCUUCAGUGCCGCAGUUAACACAAUAAGUAAUCCACCUGGGGAGUACGACCGCAAGGUUGAAACUCAAAGGAAUUGACGGGGGCCCGCACAAGCAGUGGAGUAUGUGGUUUAAUUCGACGCAACGCGAAGAACCUUACCAAGUCUUGACAUCCCUUGACAGACAUAGAAAUAUGUAUUCUCUUCGGAGCAAGGAGACAGGUGGUGCAUGGUUGUCGUCAGCUCGUGUCGUGAGAUGUUGGGUUAAGUCCCGCAACGAGCGCAACCCUUAUGGUCAGUUACUACGCAAGAGGACUCUGGCCAGACUGCCGUUGACAAAACGGAGGAAGGUGGGGAUGACGUCAAAUCAUCAUGCCCUUUAUGACUUGGGCUACACACGUACUACAAUGGCGUUAAACAAAGAGAAGCAAGACCGCGAGGUGGAGCAAAACUCAGAAACAACGUCCCAGUUCGGACUGCAGGCUGCAACUCGCCUGCACGAAGUCGGAAUUGCUAGUAAUCGUGAUCAGCAUGCCACGGUGAAUACGUUCCCGGGCCU